UACGUAGGGCGCAAGCGUUGUCCGGAAUUAUUGGGCGUAAAGAGCUCGUAGGCGGUUUGUCGCGUCUGCUGUGAAAAGCCCGGGGGCUCAACCCCCGGGUCUGCAGUGGGUACGGGCAGACUAGAGUGCAGUAGGGGAGACUGGAAUUCCUGGUGUAGCGGUGAAAUGCGCAGAUAUCAGGAGGAACACCGAUGGCGAAGGCAGGUCUCUGGGCUGUAACUGACGCUGAGGAGCGAAAGCAUGGGGAGCGAACAGG
rnacentral:rRNA from 1 species